CUCGAAGUUUCAUUCGCGGGUGGAUUCAGUCGGGACUCCUCGAGCCUCGUCUUUCGUCAAUUUCCUCCUCUCGGGGGGGUUAUUACGAUAGGCGGGGGGUGACUCUGGGUGUUCCCGACGCAUUUCCAACCCUCGAUAUCGACGCCGCAGCCGGUUGGGUAGCUGCGCGUGUCGGCCAUGAGGACGGGCAGUGGCAGUAGACCGUUUCUCGCUACGAAAGUGGCGUUUGCCGGUUGUUUAGCCAGCCCGUCCGUGGCGCGACACCCGACCGAGGAAUGUAGGUUCACAAUAUGUGAACCGCCGUCUCCUAUCGCCUUAAAUAUUAGGCGAGCGGGCCGGGUGCCUUGCGAAAUGUCGCGCAUUAUUCUGCUUACGUCCUCGCACUGGGUGGAGCGCGGCGUUCGCCCUGGGUUUAUCCGGUUACGACCGCGUAGGAGUUUGACGGCUAGCGGCGAGUAGGUCGGUCACCCACCCGACCCGUCUUGAAACACGGACCAAGGAGUCUAACAUGUGCGCGAGUCAAGGGGUCUUGAAUAGGCCUAGAGACGUAAUGAAAGUGAUGCUUAGGUCUUUUUAUAGACUUAUGUUAGUGUUGGGAUUUCCCGUGGAGUUGAUAGCCCGAGGAAAGCACCAACGACCCGCCCUGGUCUUUGAAAAUAAAGUGCGGACGGAGUUUGAGCGCACACGUUGGGACCCGAAAGAUGGUGAACUAUGCCUGGGCAGGACGAAGCCAGAGGAAACUCUGGUGGAGGUCCGCAGCGGUU
rnacentral:rRNA from 1 species